AGAGUUUGAUCCUGGCUCAGAUUGAACGCUGGCGGCAUGCCUUACACAUGCAAGUCGAACGGCAGCGCGGGGCAACCUGGCGGCGAGUGGCGAACGGGUGAGUAAUAUAUCGGAACGUACCCUGGAGUGGGGGAUAACGUAGCGAAAGUUACGCUAAUACCGCAUACGAUCUAAGGAUGAAAGUGGGGGAUCGCAAGACCUCAUGCUCCUGGAGCGGCCGAUAUCUGAUUAGCUAGUUGGCGGGGUAAAAGCCCACCAAGGCAACGAUCAGUAGCUGGUCUGAGAGGACGACCAGCCACACUGGAACUGAGACACGGUCCAGACUCCUACGGGAGGCAGCAGUGGGGAAUUUUGGACAAUGGGCGCAAGCCUGAUCCAGCAAUGCCGCGUGAGUGAAGAAGGCCUUCGGGUUGUAAAGCUCUUUUGUCAGGGAAGAAACG
rnacentral:rRNA from 1 species